rnacentral:sRNA from 1 species
AUUAAAUAUAACAAAAUACAAAAAAAA